UACGAAGGGGGCUAGCGUUGUUCAGAAUUACUGGGCGUAAAGCGCGCGCAGGCGGUUCUUCAAGUCAGUGGUGAAAGCCCGGAGCUCAACUCCGGAACUGCCAUUGAAACUGUGGAACUUGAGGAUGAGAGAGGUGAGUGGAAUUCCCAGUGUAGAGGUGAAAUUCGUAGAUAUUGGGAAGAACACCGGUGGCGAAGGCGGCAACCUGGUCCUUGACUGACGCUGAGGUGCGAAAGCGUGGGGAGCAAACAGG
rnacentral:rRNA from 1 species